rnacentral:lncRNA from 1 species
GUCCGGUUUCCUUUUGGGUAAUUAGGUGCCUCCUAAUCCGUGAUACCAGACAAGGGAGGAAGAGGAAAGAAGAAAGUAGGUGCGACUAAGCGGAUCACCAUGCUGUUUUAGGCUCGGCUUGAUAGAAAAGUAGGGCUAGCUCUGCUAAUUCAAUAAAAGUGCUAACGCAAAACACUUUGAACUUCGAAAGAGAAGUAAAAUUAAAGCUCAAACUCCAUCUCUAAGCAAAUUAUUUGUUAAGAAAAAAAAGAUAAACUUCAGUGUUCAUAGUUCAGCUCUCCUUGAGUUUAGCAUGAGAUUAGGUACUCUUCCAUUUGAGAGGCCAAGUCCCAAGCCUAAUUUGGCUAGGCUCUACUUGGCUUAAAUAAAUAUAAUGUAUCAAAGUG